GUUGCCAUCAGGUAAUGCUGGGGACGUCUAAAGGAACUGCCUACGCAAGUAGUGAGGAAGGCGGGGAGUGACGUCAAAUCAGCACGGCCCUUACGUCCAGGGCUACACACGUGCUACAAUGGCCGAUACAGAGGGCAGCUACCUGGUGACAGGAUGCAAAUACUCCAAAGUCGGUCUCAGUUCGGAUCGGAGUCUGCAACCCGACUCCGUGAAGUUGGAUUCGCUAGUAAUCGCGCAUCAGCCAUGGCGCGGUGAAUACGUUCCCGGGCCUU
rnacentral:rRNA from 1 species